rnacentral:rRNA from 1 species
GGACUACACGGGUAUCUAAUCCCGUUCGCUCCCCUGGCUUUCGCGUCUCAGCGUCAGCAGACGUCCAGGACCUCGCUUUCGCCACGGGCGUUCCUUCCGAUCUCAACGCAUUUCACCGCUCCACCGGAAGUUCCAGGUCCCCCUACGUCCCUCCAGAACGGUCGUAUCGGCGCCCGUUCCCCGGUUGAGCCGGGGGCUUUCAGCGACCGACGUGCCGUUCCGCCUACACGCGCUUUAAGCCCAGUGAUUCCGAAUAACGUUCGCACGGUUCGUCUUACCGCGGCUGCUGGCAC